AUCCCGCCCCAAAGCCGCCGCCCCGGGAGUGAGGGGCGCGAGCCCCCUCAGGACGGCGCAUCCGGGUCCAGCCUGCCCCCGGAGAGAAGUGGAAGCGAUGAGGGUGUUUUGCUGGCUCUAGGAUCCUUCCCGGUCUGUUGUCUGGGGGUUUGGCCGCAGUCCUCUGGAACCAGUGCGAGUCUGGACGGAAUUCUGCUCUAGACCAGCCCCAGGGCACGAGGAGGGGCGAAGACCUCGUCUGAGCCUCACUGAGGGCUGGAAACUUGACCUGGUACCUAAAGGUUGCAUUUGGAAACGGCCUGGGGGCGAGCGGUCUGCUGUCUCAGCACCCCUUCCACAGCGACCACGACCACUCGGAGGAAUGCGUCUCCUCCUGGGAGCCCCCCUGUACGUCCCACUGUGGACCACAGGACCCUCUGUUCCCUUCUGAGACUCUUCUCUUCUCCCCUUGCUUGGUGGCCACGAAUUGACCUGCCUGAGAAUUCCAUAGGGUCCAACCCUUCCUUCACACCCACCCUUCACUCAAAUCAAAAUGCAGGCAUGAUGCCCAUCAAAGGACAACUGGAAAUACUGGUGUGGAGCUACUGGGGAUUGAACCCAGGACCUCAUGCAUGCUAAAACUGCUUCACCAUUUGCUACAACAAAGAGGAUGCUGUAACGCAGGGGAAGGAUCAGUGGUCUGCAGCUCUCUCCUUACUGCCGGCGGCAGGACAGGAGCGACGGGUGGUUUCUAUCUGUAUGCCUGCAGGGCGUGAC